rnacentral:rRNA from 1 species
UAGGGAAUCUUCCACAAUGGGCGCAAGCCUGAUGGAGCAACACCGCGUGAGUGAAGAAGGGUUUCGGCUCGUAAAGCUCUGUUGUUAAAGAAGAACACGUAUGAGAGUAACUGUUCAUACGUUGACGGUAUUUAACCAGAAAGUCACGGCUAACUACGUGCCAGCAGCCGCGGUAAUACGUAGGUGGCAAGCGUUAUCCGGAUUUAUUGGGCGUAAAGAGAGUGCAGGCGGUUUUCUAAGUCUGAUGUGAAAGCCUUCGGCUUAACCGGAGAAGUGCAUCGGAAACUGGAUAACUUGAGUGCAGAAGAGGGUAGUGGAACUCCAUGUGUAGCGGUGGAAUGCGUGGAUAUAUGGAAGAACACCAGUGGCGAAGGCGGCUACCUGGUCUGCAACUGACGCUGAGACUCGAAAGCAUGGGUAGCGAACAGGAUUAGAUACCCUGGUAGUCCAUGCCGUAAACGAUGAGUGCUAGGUGUUGGAGGGUUUCCGCCCUUCAGUGCCGGAGCUAACGCAUUAAGCACUCCGCCUGGGGAGUACGACCGCAAGGUUG